UUCGCCCUUAGAGUUUGCUUCUGGCUCAGGACGAACGCUGGCGGCGUGCCUAACACAUGCAAGUCGAGCGAGGGGAAAGGCUUCGGCCUGGAACCUAGCGGCGGACGGGUGAGUAACGCGUGAGGAACCUGUCCCAAACAGGGGGAUACCAGAUGGAAACAUCUGCUAAUACCGCAUAAGACCACAGAGUCGCAUGGCUCAGGGGUCAAAGGAGGAAUCCGGUUUGGGGUGGCCUCGCGUCCGAUUAGCUAGUUGGUGAGGUAACGGCCCACCAAGGCAACGAUCGGUAGCCGACCUGAGAGGGUGAUCGGCCACAUUGGAACUGAGACACGGUCCAAACUCCUACGGGAGGCAGCAGUGGGGAAUAUUGGGCAAUGGGCGAAAGCCUGACCCAGCAACGCCGCGUGAGGGAAGAAGGUUUUCGGAUUGUAAACCUCUGUCCUAAGUGACGAAGGAAGUGACGGUAACUUAGGAGGAAGCCCCGGCUAACUACGUGCCAGCAGCCGCGGUAAUACGUAGGGGGCAAGCGUUGUCCGGAAUGACUGGGCGUAAAGGGCGUGUAGGCGGCCAAUUAAGUUGGGAGUGAAAUUCCCGUUUUCAAGAUGGGAACUGCUUUCAAAACUGAUUGGCUUGAGUGCGGAAGAGGUAAGUGGAAUUCCCAGUGUAGCGGUGAAAUGCGUAGAGAUUGGGAGGAACACCAGUGGCGAAGGCGACUUACUGGGCCGUAACUGACGCUGAGGCGCGAAAGCGUGGGGAGCAAACAGGAUUAGAUACCCUGGUAGUCCACGCGGUAAACGAUGAGUGCUAGGUGUAGGGGGUAUCGACCCCUCCUGUGCCGCAGUAAACACAAUAAGCACUCCGCCUGGGGAGUACGGCCGCAGGUUGGAACUCAAAGGAAUUGACGGGGGCCCGCACAAGCAGCGGAGCAUGGGGUUUAAUUCGACGCAACGCGAAGAACCUUACCAGGUCUUGACAUCGAUGUAAACUUGUGGAAACACAAGGUGGCUUCGGCCGACAGAAGACAGGUGGUGCAUGGUUGUCGUCAGCUCGUGUCGUGAGAUGUUGGGUUAAGUCCCGCAACGAGCGCAACCCUUAUCCAUAGUAGCCAGCAGUAAGAUGGGAACUCUAUGGAGACUGCCGGGGAUAACCCGGAGGAAGGUGGGGAUGACGUCAAAUCAUCAUGCCCCUUACGGUCUGGGCUACACACGUGCUACAAUGGCGUAACAAAGGGAAGCGAGCCCGCGAGGGUGAGCAAACCCCAAAAAUAACGUCCCAGUUCGGAAAGAAGUCUGCAACCCGACUUCACGAAGCCGGAAUCGCUAGUAAUCGCGGAUCAGAAUGCCGCGG
rnacentral:rRNA from 1 species